AGUGACCAUCUUACUUUUCUCCCUCAGGACUUCCUGGGCAGAUACCCAGUCUCCAGGCACUCCUGGGUGGGGGCCUGGCGAGGCCCCCAGGGCUGGCACUGGAUUGACGAGGCCCCUCUGCCACCCCAGCUACUCCCUGAGGACGGCAAGGACAACCCGGAUAUCAACUGCGGGGCCCUGGAGGAAGGCACUCUGGUGGCUGCAAACUGCAGCACUCCAAGACCCUGGGUCUGUGCCAAGGGGACCCAGUGAUCUGGGCUCUGCCUGUCCUCAGCCUGCCAGGCGGAUGCAGCACCCCUACAGGGGAGGCCAGCUAAGAGCUUGGGCAGCCUCUUCCUGGACCCAGGCAUCCAGGUCUCCCUGCUCUGUUCAAGGGGGCACACACGAGCGAGUCUAGGAGCUGGACUUCAACCCAGGAAGAUGCAUCCGAGGGAAAGGAGAUUUUCUGUGGCCUCAGGCCCGAGUGCCAAUAUUAGUCUCCAGCUUCUGUGGAUGAUUCGUUUGAUGACAUUGGGAUGGUUGUUUAGCAUGUCUGUGCCUUGGUUUCAUUAAAAUGACAAUUUCUCCCUAGAGGAAAAAGACAGGGUUAGCAACCA